CCAGACUCCUACGGGAGGCAGCAGUGGGGAAUAUUGCACAAUGGGGGAAACCCUGAUGCAGCGACGCCGCGUGAGUGAAGAAGUAUUUCGGUAUGUAAAGCUCUAUCAGCAGGGAAGAAAAUGACGGUACCUGACUAAGAAGCCCCGGCUAACUACGUGCCAGCAGCCGCGGUAAUACGUAGGGGGCAAGCGUUAUCCGGAUUUACUGGGUGUAAAGGGAGCGUAGACGGCAUGGCAAGUCAGAUGUGAAAGCCCGGGGCGCAACCCCGGGACUGCAUUGGAAACUGUCAGGCUGGAGUGCAGGAGAGGUAAGUGGAAUUCCUAGUGUAGCGGUGAAAUGCGUAGAUAUUAGGAGGAACACCAGUGGCGAAGGCGGCUUUCUGGCUCAUAACUGACGCUGAGGCGCGAAAGCGUGGGGAGCAGACAGG
rnacentral:rRNA from 1 species